rnacentral:rRNA from 1 species
GAUGAACGCUGGCGGCGUGCCUAAUACAUGCAAGUCGAGCGAACGGACGAGAAGCUUGCUUUUCUGAUGUUAGCGGCGGACGGGUGAGUAACACGUGGAUAACCUACCUAUAAGACUGGGAUAACUUCGGGAAACCGGAGCUAAUACCGGAUAAUAUUUUGAACCGCAUGGUUCAAAAGUGAAAGACGGCCUUGCUGUCACUUAUAGAUGGAUCCGCGCUGCAUUAGCUAGUUGGUAAGGUAACGGCUUACCAAGGCAACGAUGCAUAGCCGACCUGAGAGGGUGAUCGGCCACACUGGAACUGAGACACGGUCCAGACUCCUACGGGAGGCAGCAGUAGGGAAUCUUCCGCAAUGGGCGAAAGCCUGACGGAGCAACGCCGCGUGAGUGAUGAAGGUCUUCGGACCGUAAAACUCUGUUAUUAGGGAAGAACAUAUGUGUAAGUAACUGUGCACAUCUUGACGGUACCUAAUCAGAAAGCCACGGCUAACUACGUG